CAUUCUACUGUUUAUUACACAUAUUACAUUCUUAAAUAAAAAUGCGUCACAUAACAUUUUUGCAUAGAUAUCUUACAAUAUACCAAUUUAAAAAAGAAUUAUGAAACAGACCAGUAACAAAAAUAAAUUUUUUCUUCAUUAAUAAUUUUGUAACAUUAACAUACCACCAUCAUAUAAUACAAAUAAUAGUUUUAAAUCUUAAGACUUUUGUACAGCAAAAAAACUUGACAAAGUAAUAUAUUUAUAUAUAUAUAUAAAAAGCUUAAAAAAAAUAAAAUGUCAAAAAAAGGCAUAACCGAGGGCUAUAAGACUGGGUACUUCUGUGAUAUAUUAUAAAUACCAGAGAAGGCCUGAGAGAAUGUGACAGGGAGGUGGGGGGAGGGGAGGCUCCAAAACAUUAAACAUUUAGUUUGCCUUUGUGUUAGCAAGGAGAUCUUGGCCCUAACAGGUGUAUUUUUCCUCCCUGGGAUGAAGCAGAAGUGAGAUGGAAGAAAUCAAAUUGUCUGAGCUUGAGUGAGCAAAUGCAUGCUGGGAAGCAAAAAGGAAACAAAAAAGGCUAAUGAGCCCCCAAAUCUUUAGGACCUCGGUUUACAGAAAUUAUUCUGCCUCUGGUCCCAAGGGCUAGGAUUGAAAUGUCCCCUCUCCCCACCCACUGCCCCUCCCCUGUAUGUGGAACUAACUCCCAGUGGUGUGGUUUUUAUAUACUGGCAUUAUAAGCAUCCAUCCCCCCAAAAGAGAUUAGGCACUGGUGGCUACCCCUCUUAUACCUCAGUAGCCUGUUUUCCUUCUGCGAAGGUACAGUAGGUAUGUAUGCACACCCAUGCAGGUGUGUGCACACACACCACCCUCAUUAUUCUGACGUGGGGUCCUUUGUAUGGCAGUAGACAGAAGCUGGGGUCAAAGCAAUUACGAUUCCAAAACUCACAGUUGAAAAAAAUCGUAUAAACGGUCCCCAACCAAGAACACAUCAACCUUCCCUCAUGACCACAGAGAGGGAGCCCUAUUUGAAAAAGAGUAUCUUGUUUGGGAUAUUUGCUAAGUGACGACUUUGAUCUCACUCCUGUUGUGGAUACCUGUUUCCCGAGGACUUACUGGAAAAUGCAGAACACCUGAAGAAUACAGUACUAUAUUGAAAGAUGCUCAUAAGAAAGUUAAUUGCAGCUUAGCUAUCCCCUUUCUGGGAUCUGUUAGAGGAACCAAGAGAGGAGAUUUAAGUGUUAAAAACAAGAAACCCUGAAGCUCAGGCAUUAGUCAUGAGACACCACAUUUCAUAGGAGCAGAUUUUGCUUCCUUUGACAUAUUUCUGUUGUCCAUCUCAAGUGCUCCCAAAGAUCCUCAAAGAGAAACACAUGCCAUCAGGAAGGCAGCAAUGGACACUCAGGCUGGGCCCUCCGGUUGCAAAUUAAGCAUCACCAUGUUUCCCGAAAUGCAACCCAGACACUCAGAACCAGGUAUCCUCCUGCCCCAACUUCUGCCACUUCUAAAAUAAAAUUGAGGAAAAGUUUUCAUGAAUUUAUUUCAGCCAAGUCUUUCUUAAGUUCCACCUGGGCAAUAUUCUAGGUGCAAGAUUUCAGCCGGAUGUGAGGUCUUUUGUUUGUUUGUUUGUUUGUUUAAAGGGAGAGAAGGCAGACAGAUUUCUGGAGUCAAAUGGGUUGUUCAUGCUCCCUUCCUCUUUCCUUCUGAAGUAACACACGCAGAAGAGGAGAUAUAAGUAGUCCCCACAUUUACAUUAUGAGCUGAUUCCCACAGAGGAAAUCACUCAGAACCAUGAAAAUUAAUCACACUGAGGUUUGCAUUGGCAAACCAUUUCUUUGGGCUUUCCCAUGGGAUGCAGGAGUGGAGGCUGCAGGCAGGACAGUUCUGAAUGCUUGAGUUAGCCAACCCUCCCCCUCCCCCAUUUGUUUUCCCUUGGAUGCAAAUAGACACAGAUCAUUUGGAAGCAUAUCCCAAAUUCAAGUCCCUAAAUACACUCUUCUCUAAUUUCAAAGAAGAUUUAAAAAUAAAAAAUAAAUUAAAAAAAAUUCCUAGGAAUCCAUCCUGCUCAUCAGACAUGAGGUUGGCUCUCUUUUUACCCUGUUAUCAUCAGGCGAUCAAAGAUGGAAAAGGGUAGAGGUGUGCAUGGGGAGGUGGCAGCAGGGAGAGUGGGGAGUGGUUGAAGGGCUUUGGGAAGGAAACUGGGACAGGGAAAUGGCCAGCAUGAAGGUCAUUGGGGGGGGGUCUCCAAUAUUUUUACAAAAAUGCAGCUUUAACUUGGAAUCCAAACAUCUCUUUCUUUCUGGACAAAGUACUCAUCCACAUAGGCAUGAGGUUGAGCCAGUAAGCUGACAGUGGGACAGGAGGCCAGGAGCAAAGAGCAGCAUUACAAUGUCGGUCCCCACAUCCCUGAAGGUCACGUGGAGGAGAAAGAGAAGUAACUUGAAGUAAAGAAAAUCACCAGUGGCUUAGAACCAUGUCUUCUACAUAGCCAUCUCUGGGCCCUGGAUAGAAUGCUCAAGAGGACAGCCUAUGCCACAUUUAUGCCAGGCUUGCCCUUUCAAAUCUGGGAUCCCCUUGGAAUGCUAGGAGGUAAUGUCUUAAAUUGUGAAGGGAUUUCAUGUUUCAAAUAUCCAUGACACCAUUCUAGACACCCAGUCCUCUUGGGAGCAAAGGACACGUUGAGGUUAUUUCUUGAAAAACCUGCUCCCUCCAGAGGCGUCAAGCAACCGCCUCUGCAGUUGAGGAAGAAUGGAGGAGGACGUGUCAUAAACCUAUUUCUAAAAUGUCCAAGGGAUACCCACCCCAAGCUAAGGACUCGCAAUCUUCCACAGGUCUUCACUGGGGUUAGAGAAGAACAGAUUCAAAGCCAUGCGCUUAGCACCCACCAAAUUCUCAGGCCAAUUCCCACAGCCAACAAAGGACUCUGAAGCAAGCAAGCACCAUCAUGGUAUCUCAGUGCGCCCUGCUCCAAGAGAGAUCAGGAGCAGAUCACAAAGACCUCACUGAUACAAAAGAGAAAUUACCAAACAUUUCAGACACCAAAGAGGACCAAGGGGCCUUUGUUCUGCCACAUUCAAAUGAAACCACAGAUGGCGAGAGGGACAAACAGCAAUGAUUACUCUUUUGCAUUUCUUUCUUUUCUUUUUUUUUCCUUUUUCUUUUUUUAUAGAGCCUUGCAUUGGUCAGUAAAAAAAAAAUUAAAUUAAGUACUAUAAA
ensembl:lincRNA Gm26649 predicted gene, 26649